AUCACCUUUUCUACAUACAUCUCCAGGCAAAGGUAGGACCAGUUAUUAAAUAUGUUUGGCUGUUAAUGGGAAGCUGAUGGGAGGUAUCAGUAUUAUUCUUUCCUUCUAUCACCCUCUGCUCUGGGAAAAGUGCUUGCUGCCAUAGCAACCCCUGGUCAAAAGGAAAUUUCCAUUGAUAUCAGAAGGAGCAGCAUUUCACCCAGGAAGAAAGUGUGGCUACAGCAUGGCAACAGAUCUUUAUGAGAACUGUAUCUGGAUUUCUCAGUGGCAAAUGGCAGGACUGAGUAAAGGAAAAACCACCAGAACUGCUGCUCACUUUCUGCCUUCUACAUGCAUCACUUAACGCCAGACAAAAGCAAGACACAAAACAACAGAAGACUGUAAAGGACC